UGAUGUUAGCUCAGACGGUAGAGCAUCGUUCUACAUAUACGAAGGUCGCGGGUUCGAAUCCCAGCCGCGGUCAA
rnacentral:tRNA from 1 species